UCUCUGGUGGUCCAGUGGCUAAGACUCCAUGCCCCCAAUGCAGGGGACCCAGGUUUGAUUCCUGGUCAGGGAA
rnacentral:tRNA from 1 species